rnacentral:sRNA from 1 species
UUGAACCCUCACAACUUUAGAAAGUUAUCAAAUUUUCCUUUUUAAUAGAAAUUAAAUUGUUGUCAGCAUUGACAUGUAAAAUGAAACUCUCUUUAUAUUCUCGUCCAAUUAAUCUACUUUUUGAAAGAUUCAAAAAUUAUGAAUUAAAAUAUUUGAUUACUCAAUAUUCAAUUAAUAGAUUUACAACAACUAAAAAA